rnacentral:rRNA from 1 species
GAUGAACGCUGGCGGCAUGCCUAAUACAUGCAAGUCGAACGAGAGGAAGGAAAGCUUGUUUUCUGAAUCUAGUGGCGAACGGGUGAGUAACACGUAGGUAACCUGCCCAUGUGCCCGGGAUAACUUCUGGAAACGGAUGCUAAAACCGGAUAGGUAGCAGACAAGCAUUUGACUGCUAUUAAAGUGGCUAAGGCCAUGAACAUGGAUGGACCUGCGGUGCAUUAGCUAGUUGGUGAGGUAACGGCCCACCAAGGCGACGAUGCUAUAGCCGGCCUGAGAGGGCGGACGGCCACAUUGGGACUGAGACACGGCCAAACUCCUACGGGAGGCAGCAGUAGGGAAUUUUCGUCAAUGGGGGGAACCCUGAACGAGCAAUGCCGCGUGAGUGAGGAAGGUCUUCGGAUCGUAAAGCUCUGUUGUAAGAGAAAAACGACAUUCAUAGGGAAUGAUGAGUGAGUGAUGGUAUC